GCCGUGGCUCAGUUGGUUAAAGCGCCUGUCUAGUGUAAACAGGUGAUCAAGAGUUCGAAUCUCGUCGGAAAAGCU
rnacentral:tRNA from 1 species